CCUACGGGGGGCAGCAGUGGGGAAUAUUGGACAAUGGGGGGAACCCUGAUCCAGCCAUGCCGCGUGUGUGAAGAAGGCCCUCGGGUUGUAAAGCACUUUCAGUGAGGAAGAACGCCUGGUGGUUAAUACCCAUCAGGAAAGACAUCACUCACAGAAGAAGCACCGGCUAACUCCGUGCCAGCAGCCGCGGUAAUACGGAGGGUGCGAGCGUUAAUCGGAAUUACUGGGCGUAAAGCGCGCGUAGGUGGCUUGAUAAGCCGGUUGUGAAAGCCCCGGGCUCAACCUGGGAACGGCAUCCGGAACUGUCAAGCUAGAGUGUAGGAGAGGAAGGUAGAAUUCCCGGUGUAGCGGUGAAAUGCGUAGAGAUCGGGAGGAAUACUAGUGGCGAAGGCGGCCUUCUGGACUGACACUGACACUGAGGUGCGAAAGCGUGGGUAGCAAACAGGAUUAGAUACCCUGGUAGUC
rnacentral:rRNA from 1 species